AGAAAGGCGAGGCUUUAAGAAAAAGCACUCUAUCAGCAUGGCCCAUCCAUACAUCUCAGAAGAAACGUUGGAAAAAUGAUCUGGUCUUAACUGACAAGGAACUGAACACUGCUUGGGAAGUCACCUUCAUUGGGAGAGAAUAGUCCAGAAAAUAGUUCCAGAAAAUGGAAAGAUGUGUGCCUCUUUAACAAGGUGCUAAUAAGGGAUUGAUGAUUCGUACUUUGCAGAACAGAUGCUUCCAUUUCAUGUGCACUGGUGUUUGCCAUAGUGAAAACAAUAAAAUAUGAGAGGUGAUACCUUU